CCAUUUUUACAGUAAUCGGCCAAAAUGACGAACACAAAAAAGAGGAGGGGAACACGUUAUAUGUUCUCAAGGCCAUUUCGCAAGCAUGGAGUUGUCCCUCUGGCUACCUAUAUGCGCAUCUACAAGAAGGGUGAUAUAGUUGAUAUCAAGGGUAUGGGCACUGUUCAAAAAGGUAUGCCCCACAAGUGUUACCAUGGCAAGACUGGAAGGGUAUAUAAUGUUACUCAACACGCUGUGGGUAUUAUCGUUAACAAGCAGGUUAAGGGCAAGAUCCUUGCCAAGAGAAUUAACGUGCGUAUUGAGCAUAUUAAACAUUCCAAGAGCAGAGAUAGCUUUCUGCAGCGUGUGAAGGAGAAUGAAAAGAAGAAAAAGGAAGCAAAAGAAAAAGGCAUUUGGGUUCAGCUGAAACGUCAGGAGGUUACUUGGGGUUUUUUAAGAGGAGAAUGGCAGCAUCAGUGUGUCUGCAUCUGAACUGUCUGAUAUGUUUAGUGCCUGAACAGAACUGCACUGUUCCUGGGUAGAAAGUGUAUCCCUGGCUCCUGCUCCACCAAGAGAAGCACACUUUGUGAGAACAAAUGGCAAGGAUCCAGAGCUGCUGGAGCCAAUUCCCUAU